rnacentral:ncRNA from 1 species
UCCUAACUUUAAAAUCAAUUUUCCACUAACUUAUACAUGCAAGUCUCCUCACCCCUGUGAGUAUGCCCCCUUAUUUCUAACCCAAAAUGGGGAGCCGGUAUAAGGCAUAAUAGUUUACCCAAGACACCAAGCAAUAGCCACACCCACAAGGGUUUCAGCAGUAAUUAACAUUAGACAUAAGCGUCAGCUUGAUCUAGUUAGGAGGUUCCCAGGGUCGGCCAAACUGGUGCCAGCCGCCGCGGUUACACCACGAGACCCAAACUGAUUUUCUUCGGCGUAAAGCGUGGUUAAGGUUAUAGACUAGUAAAGUUAAACUUGUACUAGGCAGUGACAUGCCUGAUAAAAAGAAACUCAUAAACGAAAGUUACUUUAUACUAAUACCUGAACCCACGACAGCCAGGGGACAAACUAGGAUUAGAUACCCUACUAUGCCCGGCUAUAAACUUUAAAUUACCCUCACAUCGCCAAGGGACUACGAGCAACGCUUGAAACCUAAAGGACCUGACGGUACCCCACAUCCUUCUAGAGGAGCCUGUCCUGUAAUUGAUAACCCCCGCUUAACCUCACCACCCCUAGCCUCUCAGCCUGUAUACCUCCGUCCCAGCUCACCCUGUGAAUGAGUCAGUAAGCCUAAACGUCCUAAACCAACACAUCAGGUCAAGGUGCAGCAAAUGGGGCGGGAAGAGAUGGGCUACACUUUCUACCCUAGAAAAUACGAAAAGUCACUAUGCAACCUGACCAGAAGGUGGAUUUAGUAGUAAAAAGAGAACAGAGUGCUCUUUUUAACCCGGCACUGGGGUGUGUACACACCGCCCGUCGCCCUCCUCAAAACGCAACAAGUAGUAACUAACAAACCUAGGUGACAAGAGGAGGUAAGUCGUAACAUGGUAAGUAUACCGGAA